UGGGGAAUAUUGCACAAUGGAGGGAACUCUGAUGCAGCGACGCCGCGUGAGUGAUGAAGGAAUUCGUUUCGUAAAACUCUGUUCUAUGGGAAGAAAAGGACUGUACCAUAGGAGAAAGCUCCGGCUAAAUACGUGCCAGCAGCCGCGGUAAUACGUAUGGAGCGAGCGUUGUCCGGAAUUAUUGGGCGUAAAGGGUGCGCAGGCGGCUGUACAAGUUGGAUGGGAAAUAUUGUGGCUCAACCACAAACGUGCAUCCAAAACUGCAAAGCUUGAGGGAAGGAGAGGUAAGUGGAAUUCCGGGUGGAGCGGUGGAAUGCGUAGAUAGCAGGAGGAAGACCGGUGGCGAAGGCGACUUACUGGACUUAAACUGACGCUCAGGCACGAAAGCGUGGGGAGCAAACAGG
rnacentral:rRNA from 1 species